rnacentral:tRNA from 1 species
UGCGGUGUAGCCCAAUGGUAAGGCGGCUCCCUGUUAAGGAGACGAUUGCAGGUUCGAAUCCUGCCACCGCAG